rnacentral:rRNA from 1 species
UACAGAGGUCUCAAGCGUUGUUCGGAUUCAUUGGGCGUAAAGGGUGCGUAGGCGGCGCGGUAAGUCGGGUGUGAAAUCUCGGAGCUUAACUCCGAAACUGCAUUCGAUACUGCGGUGCUUGAGGACUGGAGAGGAGACUGGAAUUCAUGGUGUAGCAGUGAAAUGCGUAGAGAUCAGGAAGAACACCAAUGGCGAAGGCAGCUCUCUGGGACGGUACUGACACUGAGACGCGAAAGCGUGGGGAGCGAACAGG